AAAGAUGAGUAAAUCAAUAAGAGAGAGAUUCUAGCUGAAUUGUGAGAGUUAUUCAGUUUGUUCAGAAUUGAUCAUUGAUUUCUUAAAGACUCCUAUUUGACUUCAAUAAAUUAGUUUUGGUUGUGGAAAACGCUUCUCACAAUCCAAAUUCCUCCUUAGUUCUAGUUUGAUUAGGAAACGUUCGCUAAUCAAACACUAAUCAACAAGUUGCCAAGGAACGUCCUUGGGGCAUUGUAGCAUCGAACAACUGUUGAUUGCAUUAAGACUUAGAGAAACCUAAUUCUAUCCUUGCCAACCGCGUGGUCAAGUUUAGAUUAUGCAACCUGAUUAAAUGUGUAUUUGAACAACCUAAGCAAUUACGGACCUAAACCAUUCAAACAAUAUCACUUAGCAAAUUAGAAGCAAUGGGCCCUUAUUGAUUCUAAAAGCAAGUAAUAUUUAUAGAAGAGAUCAGAUUGCAUAAAUAUUGAAACAAACAAGAGUUCAACAAUGGAGUAUUAAACCUCCCAAUUCAUCACAAUUCUGAAUAUUCACAACUUCAACUAGAAACAAGGAACUUAGCCACUCAUGGUGGACUAAAUACACAAAGAGAUGAAAAGAAAAUAAAGAAAAACAACUGCAGAGUUUCUGGCGAGGGAGAGAUGCUGGAUGAGGCUGAUCAGAAGAUAAGAUUGCUGGCUUGGAGGCUCUCCUUUUAUAGUUGCAGAAUUUUAAUCAUCUAGGGUUUCAAAAUCCCUUUUUGAUUUGAUCUUGGACUCCUCUUUUGAUGUUGAAUUUGAUUGUAAUUGGAAUUCCUUGGGUGAGAGACUCUUUCGUGGCUCUUGGUCUUGUGUUGGAAGUGAUUGGAUUGGAUUUGGACUUCUGAAAAAUCGAAUUUCUGUUUUCUGUCCAUUUUCCCGCUCUGCUGUAAGUUUCUGCUGUCAAAGUGAUUUGCCCUGUGAUUUGGGCGAGCAGUGGGCAAAUCACUGGGCAGAUCACUGCCUCUGUGAGUCAGUCCUCUAUGUCUCUGCGAGUGAUUUGGCCAAUGAUCUUCGAGUGUCUGGGGCAAAUCACUGGGCAAAUCACUGCUGCCUGUUGCCUCCGGGUUUCUGCUUUAGCUUGAUCGGGGCAGUGAUUGGAGCAGAUUCUUGGGCAAAUCACUGGGCAAAUCAUCCUUUUGUGAAUUUUCUGCACUUUUUCUUCCCUUUUCCAGUUUCUUCCUUUUCUGUAAAAACAAGAUAAAAACCAUAAAUUAAACUGAA
rnacentral:lncRNA from 1 species